rnacentral:sRNA from 1 species
AGAUCUCGUCGCCCAGGCUUUCGCGCCUGAAAAUCGAUGA